GCCGCCCUCCCGCCAGCUCUCCGGCAGAGCCCUCCCGUCCCGCUCCCUCCCAGAGCGCAGCUGGGUGUUUGGCUCCCCUCCCGGCUUCCUCUCCCUCCCUCCGCUGCUUUGCUGCCCGGCUGUUCCUGGGACUGGUGCCGUCUCCUUGUGCCCUGCCUCCGUCUGCGGCAUGCCCGGGCCUUUGCCCCCCACAGAGGUGUACGCCUCGGAGCGGGUCGUCGUGCUGGUCUCCUGUGUGCUUUCCUUCUUGGGUUCCAGCCUCCUGGUUUGCACCCAUGCCCUGUGGCCGGAGCUGCGGACCCGUCCCCGCCAGCUCCUGCUCUACCUGUCGCUGGCGGACCUCCUCUCAGCCCUCUCUUACUUCUACGGGGUGCUACAGGACUUCGACAGGACCUCGUGGGACUGCGUGCUGCAGGGUGCCCUGUCCACCUUCUCCAACACCAGCUCCUUCUUCUGGACCAUGGCCAUUGCCCUUUACCUCUAUAUCACCAUUGUGAGGGGCUCGCCCACAGGCACAGGCUUGCUCUGCUGCUUCCAUGUCGUGAGCUGGGGAGUCCCCCUUGGCAUUACGGUGGCUGCUGUUGCUCUGAAGAAGAUUGGCUAUGACGCCUCCAAUGUUUCUGUGGGCUGGUGUUGGGUCAACUUGGAUGCAGAGGAUCGGGUCUUGUGGAUGUUGUUAACGGGGAAAGUUUGGGAGAUACUGGCCUAUGUGACUUUGCCGGUGCUCUACGUCCUCAUCAAGAAGCACAUUAAUAGAGCGCACGCAGCUCUCUCAGAGUAUCGCCCCAUUCUCUCAAGAGCACCUGCAUUUCAGCCCCGGACUUCCAUAGCAGAUAAGAAGUUGAUUCUCAUCCCUGUCAUCUUUAUCAUCCUCCGCAUCUGGAGCACUGUGCGAUUCAUUCUGACCCUCUGUAACUCUCCUGCAGUGCAAAAUUCAGUCCUGGUUGUCCUGCAUGGAAUUGGUAACACGUUCCAAGGAGGUGCCAACUGUAUUAUGUUUGUCCUCUGUACGCGGGUGGUCCGGACUCGGCUGUUUUCCUCCAUUUGUUGUUGCCACUACGACGAGUUGGACUGGCCUUUGCAAAGAUCAAACAACCACUGGCAGUGCCCAGAACCCCACAAGAACAAGGAUGUGCCAGGCCCUGAGCGGACGAAACCCCUGCUUUCCAGCACCUGAGCCUGGGCUGCCUACAUCUCAGUGUUGAUUUCUUCCUUCUUGGUAAAGAUCUAGUGUGCGGGAUCAUCCCAGAGUCCCACAGAGGGAGCUAAAGCCUGGGGAAAAGCACCGCUGGAGUGGCUGAGCAAACGGAAGAGGUCCGGCUCCUCCUCGGCAUUCAGAUACCAGCUGCUUUGGUCUUGAACUUUGCUCAGGAUCCCCUGGAAGAUACUGUUCGGCUGUACUCCAGCUUCCUGGUUUUCUUCCCUCCUUCCCCUCACCCUCCACUAUAAAUCUUAAAAACUGUUUGGGGUUUUGCUUUUCUGUCUGACAAGGCAAAUGUGUUGUGAGUUCUGGGGUGAACAAAUAUCAUGGUGACAGGAAAACUUUAGUAGCUGCUGAACUGGACUAUCCUGGGCAUGGUUUUGAGUCCUAGUGUGUGAGGACUUCCAGGGAGCUUCAGACUGGCUCCUGUUCUUCACUUGAAUGUGGACAAUAGGGUGCAAACAUGCCUGUCUUGUGGUGGUGAUGGAUGGUUCUUCUACGGUUUAUUCCUCCUCCUUGGUGGUUAGGGGUCUUCAUCAGGGUUUGUGGUGGCAGCACGGUUAUUGCCUCCUGAGGAAAUCUGAACUCUGCAGACUCCCUUGGUGCUCAGGGAUAUCUGGGUGUACCACCCCAGCCUCCAGCAAGGACAGCCCUCACCAGCAGCAAGACGGUGCCUGGCACGUGCUCCGAACUCCAGAUGUCUUCUGCCGAAGCACAGGCUACGGUCUGUUCUUGCUUUGGGAGUGUUACAUCAGAGCUGGGGAGGGGAUGGUUUUUUGUUUGCUAUUUGGAGAUAGUGUUUUACCUUAUUUACAGCUCCUCACUUGCUUGUUUUUUAAAUAUUUUAUCCAACUUUUACAAAAUAAAGUUUUGUUUUUUUACCA